GGCGCUUCAAAAUUUAUUGUUCUCAUGGCUGUUUUAUUUCCUGUGCAACUUUCUUUGUGAAAAGGGCAUCAACUCUGUUGGAAAACCUCUGCAGUAUCUAACCAGAAAAAAAGAUGCCCAAAGAUAUAAAUCACACGUCCAGUUUCCAAACAGAGAUGUCAUGGUUGGUGCUCUGAUGGUCAUCUUGCAAUCAUGAGGCAGCCUAGAGAAUGUAAGUCAUGUAUGCAGAUGGUGAAAGAGAGAAGAAAAAGAGA